ACGUCGUGAGACAGUUCGGUCCCUAUCCGUCGUGGGCGUAGGAAAUUUGAGAGGAGCUGUCCUUAGUACGAGAGGACCGGGAUGGACAUACCUCUGGUGUACCAGUUGUCGUGCCAACGGCAUAGCUGGGUAGCUAUGUGUGGACGGGAUAAGUGCUGAAAGCAUCUAAGCAUGAAGCCCCCCUCAAGAUGAGAUUUCCCAACUUCGGUUAUAAGAUCCCUCAAAGAUGAUGAGGUUAAUAGGUUCGAGGUGGAAGCAUGGUGACAUGUGGAGCUGACGAAUACUAAUCGAUCGAAGACUUAAUCAA
rnacentral:rRNA from 1 species